CGAAUCUUAUGAUUCGAUUCGAUUUGAGAUUCUUGAUUCACAAAACAAAGAUUCUCUAUUUUUUAUUCGAAUCUCGAUUUGACAUAUCAAUUUUCUAUGAAUCAUAGCAAUCACCAUUAAAUUUACUGUAUAUAUAUUGCUUAAUUUAUGGAAUUAAAAUUCAAUCAUACUUUAUUUCAAAUCUUGAUCACAACUUGCUUAUGUUUAUAUUUAUCUUAACAAAGUGGAAUGAACAUAACCAAUGCUUCCAAACCCUUACCAUUGUUCUAUCAUAUAAACCAUAUACUUCUAGAGAUUUUUAUCCUAAUUGACAAGGUUACAUGCAGAAUUUGAAUGUUUUCAGCACUUCAAAUAGUCCCAUUGUAUGUCAUCAGAUUCUGAAUGUAAUCUUUAUAUACUGCUUUGGAAAUGAAAUCAUUUCACUUUAAUCUGUUUUCCUCAAAAAUUAAUCACUCGGAUU
rnacentral:misc_RNA from 1 species